UGGGAUAUAGCUCAAUGGUAGAGCAUUUGCCUAGCAUCCGUGAGGCCCUGGGUUCAAUCCCCAGUAUAACAA
rnacentral:tRNA from 1 species